UGGAUCAGUGGCGAACGGGUGAGUAACACGUGAGCAACCUGCCCUGGACUCUGGGAUAAGCGCUGGAAACGGCGUCUAAUACUGGAUAUGAGCCUCUAUCGCAUGGUGGGGGUUGGAAAGAUUUUUUGGUCUGGGAUGGGCUCGCGGCCUAUCAGCUUGUUGGUGAGGUAAUGGCUCACCAAGGCGUCGACGGGUAGCCGGCCUGAGAGGGUGACCGGCCACACUGGGACUGAGACACGGCCCAGACUCCUACGGGAGGCAGCAGUGGGGAAUAUUGCACAAUGGGCGGAAGCCUGAUGCAGCAACGCCGCGUGAGGGAUGACGGCCUUCGGGUUGUAAACCUCUUUUAGCAGGGAAGAAGCGAGAGUGACGGUACCUGCAGAAAAAGCGCCGGCUAACUACGUGCCAGCAGCCGCGGUAAUACGUAGGGCGCAAGCGUUAUCCGGAAUUAUUGGGCGUAAAGAGCUCGUAGGCGGUUUGUCGCGUCUGCUGUGAAAUCCCGAGGCUCAACCUCGGGCCUGCAGUGGGUACGGGCAGACUAGAGUGCGGUAGGGGAGAUUGGAAUUCCUGGUGUAGCGGUGGAAUGCGCAGAUAUCAGGAGGAACACCGAUGGCGAAGGCAGAUCUCUGGGCCGUAACUGACGCUGAGGAGCGAAAGGGUGGGGAGCAAACAGGCUUAGAUACCCUGGUAGUCCACCCCGUAAACGUUGGGAACUAGUUGUGGGGACCAUUCCACGGUUUCCGUGACGCAGCUAACGCAUUAAGUUCCCCGCCUGGGGAGUACGGCCGCAAGGCUAAAACUCAAAGGAAUUGACGGGGACCCGCACAAGCGGCGGAGCAUGCGGAUUAAUUCGAUGCAACGCGAAGAACCUUACCAAGGCUUGACAUACACCAGAACACCGUAGAAAUACGGGACUCUUUGGACA
rnacentral:rRNA from 1 species